rnacentral:rRNA from 1 species
UGCUUGGGAACAUGCCUAGAGGUGGGGGACAACAGUUGGAAACGACUGCUAAUACCGCAUAAUGUCUACGGACCAAAGGGGGCGUCUUCGACCGUUACGUCCUUAGUAUGUCCCGAACGUAGAGAUUAGUCUAGUUGGUGGGGUAAGUAGGCCCGACCCAAGGCGACGAUCUCUAGCUGGUUUGUAGAGGAUGAUCAGCCACACUGGGACGUGAGACACGGCCCACGACUCCUACGGGAGGGCAGCAGUGGGGAAGUAAUUGCACAAAUGGGGGAAACCCGUACGAUGCAGCCAUGCCGC